rnacentral:rRNA from 1 species
CCUACGGGUGGCAGCAGUGGGGAAUAUUGCACAAUGGGGGAAACCCUGAUGCAGCGACGCCGCGUGAGUGAAGAAGUAUUUCGGUAUGUUAAGCUCUAUCAGCAGGGAAGAAAUAGCGACCUUUGGGUCGCCAGACGGUACCUGAUUAAGAAGCCCCGGCUAACUACGUGCCAGCAGCCGCGGUAAUACGGAGGGGGCAAGCGUUAUCCGGAUUUACUGGGAGUAAAGGGAGCGUAGACGGCAGCGCAAGUUUGAAGUGAAAUGCCGGGGCUUAACCCCGGAACUGCUUUUGAAACUGUGCAGCUAGAGUGCAGGAUGGGUAAGUGGAAUUCCGAGUGUAGCGGUGAAAUGCGUAGAUAUUAGGAGGAACACCAGUUGCGAAGGCGGCUUACUAGACUGUAACUGACGUUGAGGCUCGAAAGCGUGGGGAGCAAACAGGAUUAGAUACCCCAGUAGUC